GCAGCCGCAAAAUCGGUUGCCGGGAUUGGUCUCUCGGAUAUCUAUCGACGCAUAGCCGCGUUAGCGGUUUUUUU
rnacentral:sRNA from 2 species